GCCUUCGUGGUGGGGUGGUAGCACACUCAGCUACACAUUCGAGAGGUCCAGGUUCGAGUCCCGGCGAAAGUA
rnacentral:tRNA from 1 species